rnacentral:rRNA from 1 species
GAACGCUGGCGGCGUGCUUAACACAUGCAAGUCGAACGUGAUUUUUGUGGAAAUUCUUUCGGGAAUGGAAAUGAAAUGAAAGUGGCGAACGGGUGAGUAACACGUGAGCAACCUACCUUACACAGGGGGAUAGCCGUUGGAAACGACGAUUAAUACCGCAUGAGACCACAGAAUCGCAUGAUAUAGGGGUCAAAGAUUUAUCGGUGUAAGAAGGGCUCGCGUCUGAUUAGCUAGUUGGAAGGGUAAAGGCCUACCAAGGCGACGAUCAGUAGCCGGUCUGAGAGGAUGAACGGCCACAUUGGAACUGAGACACGGUCCAAACUCCUACGGGAGGCAGCAGUGGGGAAUAUUGCACAAUGGGGGGAACCCUGAUGCAGCGACGCCGCGUGAGCGAAGAAGGUUUUCGAAUCGUAAAGCUCUGUCCUAUGAGAAGAU